rnacentral:lncRNA from 1 species
UCCCCUCAUGUCAUGGGAGGGACCCAGUGGGGGGUAAUUUAAUCAUGGGGGCAGUUACACUCAUGCUGUUCUCAUGAUAGUGAGUAAGUUAUCACGAGCUCUGAUGGCUUUAUAAGGGGCUUUCACCCUUUUGCUUGGCACUUCUCCUCGCUGCCAGCAUGUGAAGAAGGAUGUGUUUGCUUCCCCUUCCACCAUGAUUGUAAGUUUCCUGAGGCCUCCCCAGACAUGCUGAACUGUUGAAAGCCUCCACAAUCAAGCUUUUAUUAAAGAACGAGUACUACCAUUGUGACCACAGAAGAUAGAAUUCGACACCAAGACUCGGUGAACAAGACAUUUGAGAAGAGAAGGUCAAAGACCCAGCUGCACUUCUGCUUCACUGCUGAACUUCUGCUUCUUCCUAUCAGGGAAUACACUGCUCCUCACAUUAGGGAUUUCCUAAAAUUGUUAGGUGUUUUGAACAGAACUGGCUAUACCAAUGAGGCUCAAACAAGAAUCAUAAAGUGCAUGGUGCUUCUCUCCCUCUCUGUUUUCUUUAAAAAGAAAACAUUCUUGACAAGAUGAAUACAAUAUUUUCAUUCUAGCAAAUUUCUGCUGUCAGAGGUUAUAUUUACAGGAUAGAGAGAUUUCUCAAACAUGACCUUUUCUCGUGUAAUACCAGAGUGAAAUUUUAGAAAAGUCUGUGUGUGUGUGAUGCGUGCGUGUGUGUGUGUGUGUGUGUGUGUGUGUGUGUGUCUCGCAGGCUGAGAAGUGGGAUGGGAAGAAGGGAAUGUGGCUAGAAUCUUACCAUCUCAUUCUCUUCUCCUUCAUUGAGCAGAGCGUGCUGGCCCUUCUCAAAGUGUCCCAUGAAAAAGUUAUUCCACACCUCCUCCCUGACCUUGUCGUGCAGACGCUUCCAGGAUGAACUCCAACUCGCCGAGCCACCGCAGCUCCUCAGCUGACUAAAAGAGUUAAUGAUCCUCCAGGUUAAAACUCCUCCUUGAGCACACACCUUCUCUCAACAAAUGACAAUACUUGGCAAACUGAACUCCUCCCACGAGUCGCCCUCUGCUAGGAGGAAUUGCUGGCUGCUCCCUGCUUAUUGCAUUCUCUCAGAGCAGCUGUCUCAAAGGAGGCUGCUCCCAUGCCGAUCUUUUUGUGCCCAACUUACAGGGAAAGAACUCAUUGCCUGCCCAGUGCCUGCCAGCCUCAGACUUCUGACUGCAAAUCCAACAGGACAAUACAGAGUUGGCAGGACCCUUCUCAGGAGUGAGGAGCGGGUGCAAGAACUCCCAGGUCACUGCUUUAUUCAGAGGACCUAAGGAAUUGGGUUGAGCGGAAGCGCACAGAGCUGCAGAUUUUCUUUGAUGAAUGAAAGCUUCAAUCCACAGGUUUCUAAUAGUACUCUCAUUCAUUUUGCUUACAAAAGGUACAGAUUAUCACUAAUCCUCUUCAAAAGGUAUUUGUAAUCACAUUUCCUUGUAUAUGCAAAAAAAAUUCUAUUUAAAGUGUAUGUGAAAUUAAGUUUACUUUUUUGAAACACAUGUAGAAAAAGAACAAAGGUAUCAUCAAACUAGUCUAUGUAGUCUCCUUUCACUAAAAUAUUGAUGGUUCAACACUUAAGGAAGUCUAGAAAUAA